GAUUAACGCUGGCGGCGUGCAUAACACAUGCAAGUCGAACGAUGAAACUCAUUAGAUUUCUUCGGAAUGAAAAUGAAUGGAUUAGUGGCGAACGGGUGAGUAACGCGUGAGUAACCUGCCUUACACAAGGGGAUAGCCUCUGGAAACGGAGAAUAAUACCCUAUGAAACCAGACAAUCGCAUGAUAAUCUGGUCAAAAUGUUUAGUGGUGUAAGAUGGACUUGCGUCUGAUUAGCUAGUUGGUGAGAUAAAAGCUCACCAAGGCAACGAUCAGUAGCCGGCUUGGGAGAGUGUACGGCAACAUUGGGACUGAGACACGGCCCAGACUCCUACGGAAGGCAGCAGUGGGGAAUUUGGCACAAUGGGGGAAACCCUGAUGCAGCGACGCCGCGUGAUUUAGAAGGCCUUCGGGUUGUAAAAAUCUUUUGUAUAGGAAGAAAAUGACAGUACUAUACGAAUAAGGUCCGGCUAAUUACGUG
rnacentral:rRNA from 1 species